GCCCGCUUGGCGGAAUUGGUAGACGCAGCGGACUUAAAAUCCGUUGACCGUUCAGGUCGUGCCGGUUCAAGUCCGGCAGCGGGCA
rnacentral:tRNA from 1 species